rnacentral:misc_RNA from 1 species
AAGUCGUAACAAGGUUUCCGUAGGUGAACCUGCGGAAGGAUCAUUAUAAAAUUUUCAUAUUAUUUAUUUAAUAUAUAAAAUUAUACAAAAAUGUAUUCAAAACCCACACUCUUUAUAACCAUAAAAAAACAUUAUAUCUUGUAUAUAAUAUAAAAAAACAACUUUCAACAACGGAUCUCUUGGCUCUC